UACGGAGGUUGCAAGCGUUGUUCGGAUUUACUGGGCGUAAAGGGAGCGCAGGCGGCCAAGUUAGUCCAAAGUGAAAUCCCGGGGCUCAACCUCGGACGUGCUUUGGAUACUGCUUGGCUUGAGUACGUGAGAGGUAAGCGGAAUUCCAGGUGUAGCGGUGAAAUGCGUAGAUAUCUGGAGGAACACCGGUGGCGAAAGCGGCUUACUGGCACGACACUGACGCUGAGGCUCGAAAGCGUGGGGAGCGAAC
rnacentral:rRNA from 1 species